rnacentral:rRNA from 1 species
GAUUUCUGACGGACCGGAGUGGCCCGUUCUCUUUCAGGGAAUGAGUGCCGCUUUGAGUUUGUCAUCCUUCUAGAAAGCUGCGUCUACCGUUUAUUCGGCCGGAUGUAUGCGAUCUAGAUCUAUUACUUUGAAAAAAUUAGAGUGUUUAAAGCAGGCUUAUGCUAUGAAUACAUUAGCAUGGAAUAAUAAUUUAGGACUUUGGUUCUAUUUUGUUGGUUUCUAUAACUGAAGUAAUGAUUGAUAGGGAUAGUUGGGGGUGCUAGUAUUGGCCGGCCAGAGGUGAAAUUCUUGGAUUCGGUCAAGACUAACUUAUGCGAAAGCAUU